UGGGUGAGUUGUCUAACGCCCACACGUGUGGGCGUUAGGGUUUUUUCGUAAUUAAAUGACUUGUAGUGAAUAGAUUAUUUUAGAAGGCAUUGUAAUGAAUGACUGGACUGCAAGCCAAAGGGCUGUACUAUUUGAUUUAAACUCCAUGAACAAAACCAGGCGUCAGUGACAUAAUAAUCUUGAGAUGCACGCAAUGCAACCAAAUCCGAUGCUGAAACUGACUCGAAAUGUAAACAUUUCGAUUUCUUCACAGCGAGCAAACACGGCUUCGAUUCCCAUCAUGAUCACAAAGCUUUAAAAGGCCUUGCCUUGAGUCGAUCUUCUCCGGCGCACUUCCAAUCUUUCUCAUCAUCUCCUCUCCUCCCCCGCAUCCGCUCGCAUCUUCCGCUGCUCCCAUGGAGAUUGCCCACCGGAACCGGGAGCCCUUCAACUUCAUGUCCGGCCGGAAGCGCCCGCGCCCGCUGGAGAUCCUUCGCCAGCGGUUCCAGUCAGAACUCGCCGCAGUCCGUCGCCUCCUCGCCGAGGCGGCCACCGUGCUUCCCGCCUCGUCCCCGUCGGCUCCCCGCGUGCGCGUCCGUCAAGCCGAGGAGCCUCCAGCCAAGAAGAGGAAGGCGUCCCCUCCCGUUCCCGUGAAGAAGAUGACGCCCAAGGAGAGGAACCAACUCUACGGGGACCUCGCGAAGCUAGCCAAGCUGUCUGAAUCCCAUGUACUCCCUGCUCAUAUCCUGGAGCUGCUGAAGAAGCACAGCCGCCGCGGCAUCUGCGACGAUUACAUCGAGAUCGAGAUGCACGCCGUCCAAGACGCGUCCCUUGUGGAGAUGCAGAAGCAGCUGGACAAGUUCGUUCGAGAGAGCAAGAUCCGUCGACGCGUCAUCGGCACAAACAGAUGAUGGCCCAAGACCAAGAGGAGGACGAAGACGUGGACAUCGUCGGCGGCGUCUCCCCUUUGCCGGUCAGGCCGACACCAGUGCAGCUCGUCGAAGAGGACGAGGAGUACGUGGACAUCUGCAGCUCGUCGAAGAAUCUUGGCGGAGAUGCAACCAUCAGCGGCAGCAGCGGUUCGGAUUCUGAUUCUUCUCGCCAGAGCGUCGACAGUCCAGCUCCGGCACAGCGCGCCUCCAACACCAUGCCUGCAACACGCGACCUGAUCGCCCGUGCCAACGAGAUUUUGGAAAGGCGGCGAAAAGAGGAGACGUCCCGGGCGAGGGAGAAGGCCCGUCAGGAGCUGCUCCAGAUGGAGAGGACGGCAAUGCCGAACGACACCCUGGACGAGGACGUGAAGGCCCUUGGCAUUGAUCAGCACAACACGGCCAGGCCGGACAACUUGUUGCGACGGAUGGGACUCUUCCUCAAGCUAGACGACCACGACCUGAAGCAGCAGCAGCACCACCAGCACCAAAGCUGCCAAGAAGAUUUAGAGGAAGCGGAGAUUCGGCUGUGAUCAUCGUUUUCCUUUUUUGUGAUCGUCGUAGCUUGUAAUAGUUCUCUUGUGCUGCUGAACAUGAUUGAAAAUGUAUGAAAAUACUGGAUCAAUUAAUUCGAGUCUCAGCUCAGUUAGUGAUUUUAUUUUGUGUGUACACAUGUUUGUGGUGUGAUGACGGCAGCUGACUGAUUUGGUUGCCAUCUUGUCUACGAGCAACAUGCUGACACUUGAUGUCGUUCUUAGGCCUCAGAGAAGGCGUGUAGCAGAGAAAGAAGGGACAUUUUGGCCGGGGCAGAGCAAACAUGAGGCAUUUUAUCUAUUAGCCUUGAAAGUUUUGGCGGCUGCGGGGCUCAACCGGCGGCGAAGGGGACGCGCUCCUGGGGCAGCCUCUGCCGUUGCCGCGGAAGACGACGGGGAGACCCCUUCCUCUCGGACGCGGCACCCUCGUCCUCGAGAGUCCAGUUCAGGAAUGUGGCGUCGCGGGCGCGGUGGGUGGAGGAGGCUGGUGCGGCGGAGGUGUUGGACAACAAGGGGAAGCUUUGGCUGACCACCGGCGUAGCUGAGAGCCGACGCGUGUGGAGGAGAUCGGAGACAAGCCACCUUCAAGGGAUGAACUGGAAACGGUAGAGAACAAGUUUGACGGCAUUCCUCUUAAAUUCUGUCAAGUUGAUAAUGGGGAUAUCAGCUUCCUCUCCUUUGAUAAAGUUACACUUCCUACUUUGCCCUGAUAGAUAGCCGCAGGAAUGGUUUUUAGCUUUCGCCUGUUCUGUCCUGUAAAGCUCCCACUGGCUGCAUCAGGAUGUCUGCUUCUGUGCCGCUUCUCAGGGCCGAGAAAGUUGCCAGGAAAAUUUGGGUUUUCCAACUGCGAUGAAUGCCACACUUUUCGGGCUGAGAAAGUUUCCAGGUUGAUCUUCAGGUUCUUCAGUUGGAAUGCUCAUGAGCAGCGAGCGUGUCAGGAAGCGAAAUCAUGAUGUUUUUUCCUUUGGUAACGAGGAGUGCAUCAUUUCGCGAGGCUCCCUAACAUAGUAGAUUGCCUUUAACUUCUAGCUGGAACUUGCAACCUAUAGAGAUGUUCUAUAUUUCGAAAGGAAGGCGUAUCAGAUUUGCAGUUCAGAAAACAUGUUGUGUUCGAGCAAGAGAUCAUCGAACCACUGUCAUUCGGCCAGGCUAGCUCAUGUUUGAUUAGUAUUGUAUAACCAGCACUCUGUCACUGAGGUGAUUUGCCAUAUGCGUACAAAUAAUGAUAUCAUGAUAAACA